CCUACGGGAGGCAGCAGUGGGGAAUAUUGGACAAUGGGGGAAACCCUGAUCCAGCAACGCCGCGUGGGGGAUGAAGGUCUUCGGAUUGUAAACCCCUGUUGAGAGGGACGAAGGCUUGAAGGCAAACAGUCUUCAAGCUUGACGGUACCUCGAGAGGAAGCCCCGGCUAACUCUGUGCCAGCAGCCGCGGUAAUACAGAGGGGGCGAGCGUUAUUCGGAAUUAUUGGGCGUAAAGGGCGCGUAGGCGGCCGCGCAAGUCUCGGGUGAAAUCCCUCGGCUCAACCGAGGAACUGCCCUGGAACCUGCGCGGCUCGAGGCCGGGAGAGGAUGGUGGAAUUCCCAGUGUAGCGGUGAAAUGCGUAGAUAUUGGGAGGAACACCGGUGGCGAAGGCGGCCAUCUGGACCGGUCCUGACGCUGAGGCGCGAAAGCGUGGGGAGCAAACAGGAUUAGAUACCCCAGUANUC
rnacentral:rRNA from 1 species